GCAGUCGUGGCCUAAUGGUAAGAGUGUCAGACCUGUAACCCGAAGGCGAAUCUGAAGGGCAUGGGUUCGAGUCUCAGGUCCGGCA